GCGAACGCUGGCGGAAUGCUUAACACAUGCAAGUCGCACGGCUCUUUCGGGGGCAGUGGCGGACGGGUGAGUAACGCGUAGGAACGUGUCCUGGACUGGGGGAUAACGCUGGGAAACUGGCGCUAAUACCGCAUGUCUCCUGAGGGAGAAAGCCGCGAGGCGGUUUGGGAGCGGCCUGCGUCCGAUUAGCUUGUUGGUUAGGUAAUGGCUGACCAAGGCGAUGAUCGGUAGCUGGUCUGAGAGGAUGAUCAGCCACACUGGGACUGAGACACGGCCCAGACUCCUACGGGAGGCAGCAGUGGGGAAUAUUGGACAAUGGGCGCAAGCCUGAUCCAGCAAUUCCGCGUGGGUGAAGAAGGUCUUCGGAUUGUAAAGCCCUUUCGGCGGGGACGAUGAUGACGGUACCCGCAGAAGAAGCCCCGGCUAACUUCGU
rnacentral:rRNA from 1 species